CCAAGAUCCAGGUCUGAUUCCCCUCCCUCCCAUCCCCUCCCGCGCACUCAGUCCGCAACGAAUCGCGCCUCCUUAGAUCGCCAGCGUAGCUAGAUUUAAUCCACCCGGGGGGGUUAGGGUUGGUGUGAUUCUGCGAUAGAUGGUUCUGGGGAUCUUGUUUGUGAGCCGCCCGCUCCCAUUGCCCUAUUGUGCCAUGAAUUAUGUUUUCGUGCUAACCAUGGUGCGAUGUUGUAGCAGCGUAGCUUCGUGCGACUGAUUCCCAAUGCCUCCUCUGUUUUGCAGGUCCGGAAGCACUCCCUGCGUUGACAAACAAAAGGUGAAACCGCGGUAGUACAGCUCACACCAUCCGAUGAUUUUUCUUGUUCAGAUGCAGCUCACUUCGUCCACAUCGUCGGACGUCGCUGGAGCAGUCCACACAGCAGGCGCAAGCGGCCAUCGUUGACUCAUUAUGUAGUCCACUUGCACGCGCCACCUCUUGCAUCUUCCAAAUUCGUUUGCAGGCGCCGGCGUGCUGGUUCUAUUGCUGUUUAGAAAAGUUUUUUUUUAGAUUUUGCUAGUGCACAACACUGCAGUUUGCUUAUGCUCACGGUGCGGUGUGGUUGGGCGACCAGUUACUAGUUUUUCUGUUGAUUUUAUAGAUUUUCCAAUACGUUUGUAAAAAAUGUUUAAAACAGUAGUUCAUUGUACAAAAAAUGUGGUGCAGUUUUGCUGCUGGCGCUAUAAAUGCAGUCCAUCUCUAUAUUAUUGAGGUGUUUGCACUUCAUUGUUACA
rnacentral:lncRNA from 1 species